GGGUAUAGCUCAGUGGUAGAGCUCAUGCUUAGCAUGCACGAGGUCCUGAGUUCAAUUCCCAGUACCUCCA
rnacentral:tRNA from 1 species